AGCAGCAGUGAGGAAUAUUGGUCAAUGGACGCAAGUCUGAACCAGCCACGUCGCGUGAAGGAAGACGGCCCUACGGGUUGUAAACUUCUUUUGUAAGGGAAUAAAGUGAGUCACGGGUGACUUUUUGCAUGUACCUUACGAAUAAGGAUCGGCUAACUCCGUGCCAGCAGCCGCGGUAAUACGGAGGAUCCGAGCGUUAUCCGGAUUUAUUGGGUUUAAAGGGUGCGCAGGCGGGAGAUUAAGUCGGCGGUGAAAUUUUGCAGCUCAACUGUAAAAGUGCCAUCGAUACUGGUUUUCUUGAGUGUAGAUGAAGUAGGCGGAAUUUGUGGUGUAGCGGUGAAAUGCAUAGAUAUCACGAGGAACUCCGAUUGCGCAGGCAGCUUACUAAACUACAACUGACGCUCAGGCACGAAGGCGUGGGGAUCAAACAGGAUUAGAUACCCUGGUAGUCCACGCAGUAAACGAUGAUUACUGGCUGUG
rnacentral:rRNA from 1 species